GACGAACGCUGGCGGCGUGCUUAACACAUGCAAGUCGAGCGGGUAAGGCCCUUUCGGGGGUACACGAGGCGGCGAACGGGUGAGUAACACGUGGGUGACCUGCCCUCAGCUCUGGGAUAAGCCUGGGAAACCGGGUCUAAUACUGGAUAUGACUCCAAUGACGCGAUGUUGUGGGGUGGAAAGCCUUGUGCGGCUGAGGAUGGGCCCGCGGCCUAUCAGCUU
rnacentral:rRNA from 1 species